rnacentral:sRNA from 1 species
AGAGGUCAAAAAGUCAUGUGCUUGCACAUAUGACUUUUUGACUUCGGGAUGCGAACAUACAUGAGGAAGUAGGCAGAUAUGCCGGAUUCCGAAUGUAUGUAGGAUUGCGGGAGCGAAGCGGAGCAAUCCGUAU